CAAAAAACAUUGAAAUUUAGGACUAACAUUGUGUAAUUUAUUUCUUUUCAGGUACCCCCGCCAGAAGGACGGAAGCAUCGAGUCGCUGAGGAGCCUAAGGAGUCAUCACAGAUGCAAAAUGCCGGUCGUCAGCUGUCAUUGCAUUUUUACUGAGCUGCUGGCAUUAUGGUGGUGGCGUUCGUCUCGUGGCAGAGAAGUCGUCAGUGAGGAUUGUAGCUCGGUCUAUCACCGAGGAAAGCCAGGUGCGCCGCGUCUUGUGGCCAUAGCGUCAGGAUUGGCAGCUUGGGGCCGCCGGUUCGAGAUUUUUUGCAGGGGGCCGCCGCAACGUGAUAGGCAUGGAAAUUAAUGUAAGAAUUGUAUUUGGUACAUUGAGUGGAAUUUAAUUUAAGG